rnacentral:rRNA from 1 species
GAAUAUUGGACAAUGGGGGGAACCCUGAUCCAGCCAUGCCGCGUGUGUGAAGAAGGCCUUUUGGUUGUAAAGCACUUUAAGCGACGAGGGGGCUACUCUCGUUCAUACCUAAAGCUAGUGGCCGUUACUCGCAGAAUACGCCCCGGCUAACUCGGUCCCUGCAUCCGCGGUAAUACAGAGGGUGCAAGCGUUAAUCGGACUUACUGGGCGUAAAGCGCGCGUAGGUGGCCAAUUAAGUCAAAUGUGAAAUCCCCGAGCUUAACUUGGGAAUUGCAUUCGAUACUGGUUGGCUAGAGUAUGGGAGAGGAUGGUAGAAUUCCAGGUGUAGCGGUGAAAUGCGUAGAGAUCUGGAGGAAUACCGAUGGCGAAGGCAGCCAUCUGGCCUAAUACUGACACUGAGGUGCGAAAGCAUGGGGAGCAAAC